AAACUUAAAUGAAUUGACGGGGACCCGCACAAGCGGUGGAUGAUGUGGUUUAAUUCGAUGCAACGCGAAAACCUUACCCACCUUUGACAUGGCAGGAAUCCUGAAGAGAUUCGGGAGUGCUCGAAAGAGAACCUGCACACAGGUGCUGCAUGGCUGUCGUCAGCUCGUGUCGUGAGAUGUUGGGUUAAGUCCCGCAACGAGCGCAACCCUUGCCAUUAGUUGCUACGAAAGGGCACUCUAAUGGGACUGCCGGUGACAAACCGGAGGAAGGUGGGGAUGACGUCAAGUCCUCAUGGCCCUUAUAGGUGGGGCUACACACGUCAUACAAUGGCCGGUACAGAGGGUAGCCAACCCGCGAGGGGGAGCCAAUCCCGCAAAGCCGGUCGUAGUCCGGAUCGCAGUCUGCAACUCGACUGCGUGAAGUCGGAAUCGCUAGUAAUCGCGGAUCAGAAUGUCGCGGUGAAUACGUUCCCGGGUCUUGUACACACCGCCCGUCACACCAUGGGAGCGGGUUCUGCCAGAAGUAGUUAGCCUAACCGCAAGGAGGGCGAUUACCACGGCAGGGUUCGUGACUGGGGUGAAGUCGUAACAAGGUAGCCGUAUCGGAAGGUGCGGCUGGAUCACCUCCUUUAUG
rnacentral:rRNA from 1 species